rnacentral:rRNA from 1 species
CCUACGGGCGGCAGCAGUGAGGAAUAUUGGUCAAUGGACGCAAGUCUGAACCAGCCAUGCCGCGUGCAGGAAGACGGCUCUAUGAGUUGUAAACUGCUUUUGUACGAGGGUAAACGCAGAUACGCGUAUCUGUCUGAAAGUAUCGUACGAAUAAGGAUCGGCUAACUCCGUGCCAGCAGCCGCGGUAAUACGGAGGAUUCAAGCGUUAUCCGGAUUUAUUGGGUUUAAAGGGUGCGUAGGCGGUCGGAUAAGUUAGCGGUGAAAUCCCGGGGCUCAACUUCGGAAUUGCCUCUGUUACUGUUCGGCUAGAGAGUGGUUGCGGCAGGCGGAAUGCGUGGUGUAGCGGUGAAAUGCAUAGAUAUCACGCAAAACCCCGAUUGCGAAGGCAGCUUACUAAGGCAGAACUGACACUGAAGCACGAAAGCGUGGGGAUCAAACAGGAUUAGAUACCCUGGUAGUC